GGUGUGCCCCCAGGUGUGCCCAGGUGACCCCAGGUCUAUUUCAGGUGCCCCCAGGUGUAUCCCAGGUGCCUCCAGGUGUAUCCCAGGUGUGCCCAGGCACCUCCAGGUGUGUGCCAGGUACCCCCAGGCACCCCCAGGCACCCCCAGGUCUAUCCCAGGUGCCCCAGGUGUACCCCCAGCUGCCCCCAGGUGUGUCACAGGCACCCCCAGGUGUGCCCAGGUGUGCCCAGGUGUGUCACAGGCACCCCCAGGUGUGCCCAGGUGUGCCCAGGUGUGUCACAGACACCCCCAGGUGUGUGCCCAGGUGUGCCCAGGUGCGUCACAGACACCCCCAGGUGUGUGCCCAGGUGCCCCCAGGUGCGUCACAGGAAGUAGUCGGCCACGGGUUUCUUGGCGGGGAUGCCGCGCGUCUCCUGCGGCGCCGCCUCGAAGAUGAUGAACUCCUUCUGCAGGUGCUCGUCCAGCUC